AAAGACUUUACUGCUGGGGCUUCCUCCUCACUGGGGAAUUGCCGGAAAGAGCAAACAAAAAAGGCGCUGGUGUAGGCUCCAAAAUAAACAUCUGAAUUCAUGAUGGCAUCGACAGAGGCUCUUAUUGGAUUAAAAGUUUCAAAACAAACAAUAACGCUUUGGAAAAAGGGUUGAAUGCUUACCUGCACCCUCAGGCACGACCAUGGAGAAAGGUGGGAACAUACAGUUGGAGAUCCCUGACUUCAGCAACUCUGUCCUGAGCCAUCUAAACCAACUGCGCAUGCAGGGCCGUCUCUGUGAUAUUGUGGUCAAUGUGCAAGGACAAGCUUUUCGGGCUCACAAAGUGGUACUGGCUGCCAGCUCCCCCUAUUUCCGGGAUCACAUGUCCUUGAAUGAGAUGAGUACUGUCUCCAUUUCAGUCAUCAAGAACCCUUCUGUUUUUGAACAGCUCCUUUCUUUCUGUUAUACAGGGCGGAUAUGCCUGCAACUGGCAGAUAUCAUCAGCUACCUAACAGCUGCCAGUUUUCUGCAGAUGCAGCACAUUAUAGACAAAUGUACACAGAUCCUAGAGGGCAUUCAUUUCAAAAUUAAUGUGGCUGAGGUUGAAGCAGAAUUAAGUCAAACAAGGACAAAGCAUCAAGAGAGACCUCCAGAGUCUCACAGGGUUACACCAAAUCUCAACCGCUCCCUUAGCCCACGACACAAUACCCCAAAGGGAAAUCGGCGAGGUCAGGUUAGUGCUGUGCUGGAUAUCAGAGAGCUAAGUCCUCCUGAGGAGUCCACCAGCCCUCAAAUAAUCGAACAGAGUUCUGAUGUAGAGAGCCGGGAGCCCAUUCUUCGGAUCAACCGUGCAGGACAAUGGUAUGUGGAGACAGGAGUAGCAGACCGGGGGGGUCGGAGUGAUGAUGAAGUUAGGGUUCUUGGAGCAGUACACAUUAAAACUGAAAAUCUGGAGGAGUGGCUUGGGCCUGAGAAUCAGCCUUCUGGAGAAGAUGGGAGUAGUGCAGAGGAAGUCACAGCCAUGGUGAUUGAUACCACAGGCCAUGGUUCUGUAGGACAGGAAAAUUACACUUUAGGGUCUUCAGGAGCCAAGGUAGCUCGGCCAACAAGCAGUGAAGUUGACAGAUUUAGCCCCUCCGGCAGUGUUGUUCCCUUGACAGAGAGACACAGAGCCAGAAGUGAGUCUCCUGGGAGAAUGGAUGAGCCUAAGCAACCCAGCUCCCAGGUAGAAGAGUCAGCAAUGAUGGGAGUAAGUGGCUAUGUGGAGUAUCUUCGAGAGCAGGAAGUAUCUGAGCGAUGGUUCCGGUACAACCCUCGUCUUACCUGUAUCUACUGCGCCAAAUCUUUCAACCAAAAGGGAAGCCUGGAUCGCCACAUGCGCCUACAUAUGGGGAUCACACCAUUUGUCUGCCGCAUGUGUGGCAAGAAGUAUACCCGGAAAGAUCAACUGGAGUAUCAUAUCCGCAAGCACACAGGCAACAAGCCCUUUCAUUGUCACGUUUGUGGCAAAAGUUUUCCCUUCCAGGCCAUCUUGAAUCAGCACUUUCGCAAAAACCAUCCUGGCUGUAUACCCCUGGAGGGGCCUCACAGCAUCUCCCCUGAAACAACUGUCACAUCUCGAGGACAAGGUGAGGAAGAAUCGCCUUCACAGGAAGAGACAGUUGCUCCCGGGGAAACUGCCCAGGGCUCUGUGUCCACCACUGGGCCAGAUUGAAACAUCGAGGGAGAGGGAACAGACCCUCUUCCCCUUUGGACCAUAAGCAGCCAGCAUCAGGGCCAUGGGCUGGUACUUACAUUCACAAAAUGCCAUGUCACUAGACCAGAAGAUGCUCUCAAGAUGUUGCCAAACUAGAGGAUCAGUAACAUACACAAAAGCACUAAAGGCUCUACCCCUCCUCCUUCCCACCUCACACUUUGGAAAAUACUCAAGCAAAUCAACUUUUCUAAUUCAGGGAUCAACAGCCUUGGUUUGUUACCUUUAUAAGAAAAAAAAUUUUUUAACAAAACAAUGAUAAAUGGUCAUUUAUGUACCAGUCAUGUUUGAACACUGUACUUUGGUUCACAUCAUCUUGGUGGCUAUAAUUGCCAGAUCUUAAAAAAUACAUCAGGAGCCUCAACCAUCAGAAGCAGCCAGCCACAAGAGAGAAGGAGGUAUUCAAGAUGCUGGUGAGGAGGAGGAAUUUUUUCCUCUUCCUUCCCUGCCAGAACGUGCAUUUACAUUUCCAGAAAAAAACAAAUGAAUGCUGGUGAUUCUUACUGUUUUGAAAGCAUCACAAGUCUAAACCAUUUCAAGCCAAUAACAACAACCUGAGUGAGUAGAAGAAAUUCCUUAAGGUUUAGAUUUCUGCUUUUAGCCACAUCUUGAAGCAGAUGUUUAUGACAUAUUUGAAGAUGAUCUACUGAGUUUCCUAUAAAGUAAUAGAAUCCUAAACUUGUGGUUCUUUAAGAACCACUGAAAACAGAAUUGCAGUAUAGGGAACAAAGCUUAAAAUGUGUUUCCUCUGGAAGCCAAGAUCCUAACACAGAGGUCACGAAAGUGUGACUGAAAUCCACCUCUAGAAUGGCUGUCAGUUAGAUAGCAGAAAUGUUUAGAAUUUAUAUGGCAUUUCUAAUAUUUUUACAAAAAUAAUUUUAAAUCAUGUAACUUGAAUUUUUAAAAUAUGAGCCUGUUUUCUUUUUGGAAAACUGGCUCAAUAAAAUAACACUAAUAUAAUUCAAUUGUAUAUGCACGUGCAUUGAACAUAGUAGCAUACUAAAGAUAGUUCACGCAAAUAACUUUUGUGGAAAGUUUGGCUAUUUUUUCAUAUGUGUAUGUUUAUAAAUAUAUUUACUCAUCCACUGUGACCUUGGUAGCAUAGAAGCAUUUUGUUAGCUUUAUCAUUGAUUCUAAAAAUCAAAUUCUUGGCAUAAUAGGAUAGGAGAGCUUUUUGUUACUUUGUAUUUUUGGCUAAGAAAAUUACUUCUUGCACUUUCUAUUUAUAAAGAUGUUAUAACACAGUGCACCCACUUAGUGCAGCUGUUCUUUAGAGACAAAAGAUGUAGGUAUAAAAGUGAAAUAUGUGUUUAAAAACCUGGCAAAAGGAGGGACCUCAAAAAAACAAAUUUGGCUUGAGUCUACCUGAGAAGGGCUGGGGAUUAAUAUGAAAUUUAGGUUGAAAGUAGCUGUUGGGUAGGUGUACUGUUGCUGUGAAUUGCAAUAUUGAGUUGCCAGCUGUGUAUAUGUGAGUUUACGUGUGUAUGAGAGAGAAAGGUUUAUUUAAUGAAGGCAGAUAAGUCAAUGUAGAAUAUUCUACCUCCCACUAAAAACUGAGCAUAUUCAAGAUUGCCCCGUAACCCCCUGGGGAGAAGGCUGGAUUCCUUCGCCACUGUCCCAUAAGUGUCUAUACUCACUUCAGCUCCUCUACCUCAGAGCACAUGGCUGAAGAAAGAGUAUAGCUUUCUGUAGCAAGCAGAGGAAAGCCAGACCCAAAAUAUAGAGGCUGCAAUAUCUGAAAUUCUUCUUGUCACGUUCAGAUGUUAAUGUUUGAUUUUGUUGCCCAAAUCAAAUAGUGUCAGGACACUUGGGUUUAGUGCUUUUAUCCACAGGCUUCUGUUUGGCAAGAGUAGCCAGUGGAGGUGGAGUCUUUGUUUUAAAGAUGCACCCAACUCCUCCUUUUAAUGAUGUGAAACAUUUGUUUGAAUCCUCAGUUUCUUUUUUAAUUGCUAUUUGCAGUCCACUUCUGGGGGACUGGAAUACUAACUAUAUUUUCCUGAUAAUGAGCCUUCUGCCAAUCUUACAUGGAGGUAUGUGUGGCAUAGAUUUUCGAAUGACCUGUUAUGCUUUUAAUCACUCCAAAGAGAGAUAUUCUUGUUUUUAAUGCCAAUACUGUUGGGAUUCUCAAUAUGGCCUCACUUGAACAUUGUAAGUGUCAGAAAAUUCAGUUUCAAUUGUCAGAUGCCGCUAGGCAAACCACCUAAUCUUUAAAUCCAAUCGUAGCACUCAACUGAUUGCCUAUUUAGGGCACUAGUACACUGAGCCAAGUAAGCUUACCUACCUUUUGAAUAUUUGCCACAAUUGAAGGACUGUUGGCCCUUUGUUAUCCUGGAAUGCUUUCCACCUUUUCAUCCUAAUGCACUGACUAGUUGUAAUGUCUGAACAGGAAUUCUCUGGUGAGAAGUGAAAUGAGAGAGAGUGAUCCAUUUUCAGGUUUUUACCUGUGUUUGAGGUAAUAGCUGAUAACUAUUUACUUUCCUGGUGACUUUGGAUAGAGCAAGUGGAGAUACAGAGAAUGUGAAAUUUCAAGUAAGGAGACAAGCAUUGUUCGUAAGAGACAACUGGUACAGUAACUUCUGCCCAGUUACAGUAUGAAUCCUGUAGGAAGAUGAGGUGGUAAAAUCAUAUGAAUCUUUUUACCACAACUAUUUUUUUUCUAACUGUAGAAUAAUUCUCAGCCUGUAAGCCAUCCUAAUAUCUUAGACUCAGGAAUUAAUCCUGUUUAGGAAAAUUUUUCCUUGUUGCUUAUUUUUUGUGCCCAGAGUCUUAUCUGUCUUCUGAUCUUUUUGCUAUACUAUAUACUUAAAGUGUAGUUUUACCUAAAUCAAUAAUUUACUGUUGGUAUUGCUGCCUAUUACAGCCAAAGUGAUUUAUAUAAAAACAAAGUGAGAAAUGCCCAGGUAAUUUGAUUGAGGCAUGUUAGAUUCAUGAAUCUAGAAGGAAGCCAUGGAGCCUUACCUCUCUUCCCUCUGGCUUGGAUGAACACUGGCCUUAUGUUUUCUAUUACAGAACUAGUUGACCUACUCCAGUAGUUCUCCGUCUUGGCUACACAUUAAAAUUGCCUGGGACCCCCUCUAGACAUUUGCGUUUAAUUGGUCUGUUGUGCAUUCUGAGCUUUAAAUGCUCCCUAGAAGAUUCUAAUAUGCAGCGAAAGUUGAGAAUCACUGCCUAGGUUAUCCAUAGUGGUUUUUUUGGCAGGAUAACCUCAAUCCAGUAGUUCUCUUUGACCCAAGUUAUCUUUAUUGAUAUCCCAUACAUUGCUCUCAGUUUAAGCUUACAGUGUGCCAAGGUUCAGGUGGUAAAAUGGAUCAUCCAUUUGUCCUCAAGAGUAAUCCUGAAGGGAGAUACUGCCAUCCAUCCAGUUUUCUUCUCUAUACAAAGUAUGCAUAAGUAAGCAAAACAAAUUUUCCAAGUCCCUUCUCUAGAAUCCUCUUUCCUUUGUAUAUGUAUAGUGGAGAUUUCUCAACUCUGCUAGUUGAAAUACAGCACUUGAAUUUAUUAAAAAAGCCAAGCCCAAACUGCCUACAUGGUGACUUUUAUUUGUAAAAUAAAUAGGUAGCAUUGUUAAAGUUAACAGAGAAAAGGAUCCUGCCUGGGGCAGUGGUGAUACAUUUGAUUAUUUGUCACUUAGCCUACCUUCUAAGUGGAAUUUCAGUGUCUGGUGACUUUCACUUUCCCUGAAUUAUUUCUUUGUGAAUGAAAUGAACUAGCUAAGGCUUCAAUAUUUCUGAAUAUUAUAUGAAAAUGUGAAAUGAGUCUUUCAGCAUCUUUGUUCUAGGAUGUCAAAGACCUAAACGAAUAAUUCCCAAAUGAGGUACCACAUCUUCCAUUCUUCUCACCUCAGGUAGCAAGCAAACCUUUAGUGGCUGUCACAGUUUGUGACUUGCCCCCAUGGCAUCCUCACACAUGGUAAUGGGAAGGGGAGAACUGUUUUAUUCAUUACCUUACAAAGUGAGAACCACUGUUCAGACUAGCUACCAAGUGAUUUCUAACUCAUGAAAGAAAUCUCUAUUUAAGAACAAGUUCAAAUGUAGCAAUCUCUCUUCUGAGACUAUUCUGGACACCACAGAAAAUUUCAUUCAUAUAUUAGCUACAAGUAAUUGAUCGUUUGAGCUUCAAAGAGGUGGUGUGUGCAAGAAAAAAAGUAGGUCAAGGAAAAAGUUGGUUAGUGCAGAGGACUUAAUUAGCAUCAGACUAUGAAAUUUCAUUGAAGCAGCAUUAAGGCCUGGCUGUUUGCUUAGCAUGUAAAUGUUGUAUUGUCAGAGAAAAUGCCUCCGAUGCCUUAGAAAAUUUGCUGAAGGCUUCCUGUUAUUGGGUGGGAUAGAAAAACAAUAGCUUUUUGGAGCCUAGAGACUCCAAAGAGAGUAGCCCUUUAGGGUUUUCAUACUGAAGAACUUUGUAGAGUGCUGUGAAAAAUUGUCAAACUUUAUGCAAAUUAUACUGCACUGGAUUUUAAGAUUUUGUGGGGGAGAGUAGGAGGAGGACAGGGAAGUAAUGGUAAAAGAUAAGUACAUAAACUUUUACUCUCUUUUAAGCAAGGAAUAAAACAAAUAUUCCCUAACAGGAAUUCUCUAUCAGCAUUGUGAAGUUCAGUCAAGUUCUGCCCUAAUGGGUUGGCUUGCUGAUUCCUCUUAAACCUCUACGAAAUCCUUUCUGAAACAGUUCAACUGUUAUCAGUUUGACUACAGUUUCACCAUGCUGCCCCACUCCUCUACCCUCAACAAAAGAAAAGCUUUCCUAAAUUAUAGGCAAAAGAAAUGUGUUCUAUCUCAAUCCAUUAACGUUUUAUCUACUGUGAUCUGUGUUCAGUUUUAGCCCAUUGCAUUAUUUCAUGAUCUUAUAGCAGAACUUAAAUGGAUCUGCCAGUUCAGUCAGGAACCAAUGGCUUCCUUCCCCUUAAGAAAUCUUAAAAUCAGAACUGUCCAUUUUUUGCAUGUCAGUCUAAGUAAAUAAAGGGAGAAGUACAUUGGAACAUCAUUUAGAUUUCCUAGCUCCUCGUAAUUUCUGAGCGGGACUCACUCAUGCUCUGCCUCUGAGAGGAGAAGAGAAGGCUGAAGGUUCAAAGAUAGAAAAGUCAAUGUAGCAGAAAUUUGGUUUCCUUCAGAUGGACAUAGUCUGAAAGAAAUCUAUCUAGCUGUUCUCUAUGGUGCUUAUAUGAUGGGUGACAGCUGCUGUCCCCCAUCUACCUGUCCCUGGCACUGUGCCUUCCCACUGGUCACUGUGAAAAGCAGAUCACACUGGACUCAGAGGCCAGAAUCCAGGACAAGUUCCCCCACCCCUUCUCAUCUUGAGCCCAUCAGUUCUUUGCAUAACUAAUAAUGUAGCAUUUACUUCUCUUUGGAAACUCUGGGGUUUUUUUCCCCCAAGAAAUAGUAAAGCAUUUAAAGGAAACUAGUCAGAAAAUUAGAUUCUGGUAGCUAUCAAUAAAGAGAUCAUAGGAAAAUUUCACUUCCCCUCAGUUGAUAUUGAUUGAUAGCAAGGAUCACCUACGCCGGCCUCUUCCUGAGUUUUUAAAGGCUACCAUAAUAUUUGUAAGCCGCAAACUUAGAUCUACAGCAUUUUUUUUACACUUGCUAAUUGAGGAGGAUUUAUAAUAAAACAGACAAUCAAUUUCUAAAAUGUUCUUAUCCCUGAAAGGGAAAUGGAGUAGAAUAUUUUUAAUUUUAAGAACCUACCGGGCUGUUUUUUCCCUUUGAAAAAACUAACAUUUGAGAUUUAUGUCUUUCAUCUGAAGCAAUUACUCCAUUAAUAAUAGAGAUGCCCAAGAACAGUCAGUCAGUCAGGAUGGCGCUCCUGCGCCACUGAGGGUGCUGGACUGGCUUUGUGCAUCUUAUUUCCUAAGAAUAUCAGUUUUUAUUAUGACCUUAAUUAUAAAUAUCUAUAUAUAGGAAUAGGAUUUUCUCUCACCCCACCCUCCUUUAAUCAUUAUCACUUAAAUGUAAACCAUAACCUCCCCUUAUCCCCUUUUACUGAAAAAAUGCACUUUAAUUCCUAAGGAGAGUGACUGUUCCUGGCCCUGAAGCCAGAUUACUUCAGGAGGAGAGUCAAGGAGGGAGAACUCUUGCCAGACCCUAUGAAAUUAACCAAAUUCCUUAAUGUAAACACAAAUAUAAUGACAUCUAUUUUUAAGCUGCCCCCACUCCUUGCCAAAGGGAAAAAGAAACAACCACCCAAUUGAAAAAGAGUUCAAAAUGCCUAUCCCGAUUUUGGAAGUUUCACCGAGGAAAAAAAUACCUAAUAUUAAGUUAUUUUCUCAGCUACCAAAUUAUCAGAAACUUCUGUGUUGUUUUGUGGGAGGCUAAAUUUUCUGAAUAAAAGUCAAAUGAAAACACAAAGGCUCUAAGAUUAAAGUCCUGAUUUGUGUCAUUUCUAAGUAUCAGAUUUGUUCUCCCUUAAUUUAACAGGUGUUCUCAGUCUCUCCCCCUAUGGAUUCUGACCUUCCCCUGAUGACAAGCCAAUAGUUCUUGGUGGGGUUGCAUGUCUCCUAGAGCCCCAGGAGCCCUGUCGUGUUGGAGGAGGGGGGAGGGCAGGAGGGUGGGCAGAGACUGGGGUUGGGGAAGGGAGAUUCAAAGAAAGAGUGAAAAUAUGGGUUUAUAUAAACAUAUUUAAAGCAGUUUAGCAAAAGCUUUCUCGUUGAACAGCUUUAAGAACAAUGUGAAUGAAAUCUUAGCAACUUGGUUAGCAAUCUGAAAAGUCUAUUAAUGUAUACUUGAAAUUCUGUUUGUAUAAAAAUGCAUUUUCCUCUUUAACACUGUGUAAAAGAACAUUAUGCAUGUGAGUGGUUUGAGAAUUAAAUGGUUUAAUACUCA